rnacentral:rRNA from 1 species
CCAGCUCGUGCCGUGAGAUGUCCUGUUAAGUCAGGCAACGAGCGAGAUCCCUGCCACUAGUUGCUAUCAUUAUUCUCAGGAAUAGUGGGGCGAAUUAGUGGGACUGCCGUUGUUAAAACGGAGGAAGGAAGGGGCUACGGCAGGUCAGUAUGCCCCGAAACUCUGGGGCCACACGCGGGCUGCAAUGGUAGUGACAAUGAGUUCCAAACUCGAAAGAGAGUGGCAAUCUCUAAACGCUACCACAGUUAUGACUGAGGGCUGUAACUCGCCCUCACGAAUAUGGAAUCCCUAGUAACCGCGUGUCAUUACCGCGCGGUGAAUACGUCCCUGCUCCUUGCACACACCGCCCGUCGUUUCAUCGAAGUUUGCUUUUAGCGAGGUGAUGUUUAAUUGGCAUUAUCGAACUUGAGGUAAGCGACGAGGGAAAAGUCGUAACAAGGUA